rnacentral:rRNA from 1 species
CCUACGUGUGGCAGCAGUGAGGAAUAUUGGUCAAUGGGCUUACGCCUGAACCAGCCAAGUCGCGUGAGGGAAGACUGCCCUAUGGGUUGUAAACCUCUUUUGUCAGGGAGCAACGCCGGCUACGUGUAGCCGGACUGAGAGUACCUGAAGAAAAAGCAUCGGCUAACUCCGUGCCAGCAGCCGCGGUAAUACGGAGUCUGCGAGCGUUAUCCGGAUGUAUUGGGUUUAAAGGGUGCGUAGGCGGACUGCCAAGUCCGCGGUAAAAUCGCUGGGCUCAACCUCGCUCCGCCGUUGGAAAUGGCGUUCUUGAGUGGGCGAGGAGGAAGCGGAAUGCGUGGGGUAGCGGUGAAAUGCAUAGAUAUCACGCAGAAAUCCGAUUGCGAAGGCAGCAUACCGGCGCCCAACUGACGCUGAAGCACGAAAGCGUGGGUAUCGAACAGGAUUAGAUACCCCGGUAGUUC